AUUUUUAUUGGAGAUGCUACUUCUUCAUAGUGGAAAUCAUUCGCGAAUAUUUGUUAUUUCAGUAGAAAAAAUGGUAACUUUUUUGAAGUUAUACUUCUUUAGGCGCGUUAUGAAAAAUUGAUGAGAGUGAAAUUUUACGAUGCGCGCGCACCGUGACACAAAAUUAACAGAAUGAAGUUGCUCACUAAAUCGCUCAUUACAAUACGACCGACGUAACUUGGCGAGUCUGAAUAUAGCCGCAGGUGAACUUUCGCGCAGGUACACUCGUAAAAAAAAGUGUUAUUAGCAUUCAUUUUUUAACGUUAAAUAUUUAUUAUUAAUUAUUUAAUAUUUAAAAAAAAAACAUUUAUUAAAAAUAAAGUAUAACUUCUUACGCGCGUACAUAAGUACACGCAUCCUUUUUUUAAUGUUGGGGAGUCCGUUGAUGAAUGAAAAAACUUCAAAAGUACUGAGAUCUGUAAAUGCUGUUUAAUUUUAAGUAGGUACCAGCAAUGUAAGCAAAAUUCGAUACGAAUACACCAGGCGUCUUCCAAUUAGGCCAACGCCUCAGAUUCCUACAUUAUGUCAUAAAGCCGCAUUUGACGUGGCAAGGGAUUAUUGAGGUGCGAAGGUCUGCCUCUAGGGACAAUGCGAAACCCGAAAGAAAAAACAUGGCAAAACCUUUCAUAUUCGGAAGAGGGUUUAUUUUUGGUUUUCCUGAAAUUCCCAGUUGAGAAUGUUAUUAUUUAUAACAACAAUUGUAUAGCAGUUUCUUGGCUAGUACCUACUAAAAUCCUGUUUGUUUAGCUCGCAAUGAAAAACGUCUAAUUCGCAAGCACAAAUAAUUGAAGACAUCAGUGGAUGAAGGGUAUAUUAUGAUACAAUUUUGAGAAAACAGGCAACAAGCUUUUUUUUAUUGCCCAUGUAAGCAGACGAGCAUACGGACCACCUGAUGGUGAGUAGUUACCGUCGCCCAUGGACUUCAGCAAUGCCAGGGGCAGAGCCAAGCCGCUGCCUACCGCAAAGCUUUGUUACUUGUACUUUUUCUUCUUACAUAUCUCCUUAAUCACAUGUAAUUUUAAAAAACAGCCUUUCAGCCCGGGGUUUUAAGGUCUAAUACGGUUUAUAGGCACAUAACACCUUCAUUCAAUGUAAAAACUCAAAAAUCUUAAAAAUGGUACUUAACCCCUUCAUCCGCUCAUGUCUUCAAUUAUUACUGUCACUUGACAAUGUCAUACACCUACAUGUGACACACCUUAAGAUCAGUUGAUCAAGUCCAAGAACCGUGUCUCCAUUCUCAAGCUUGCCCUACUUUCUUGAUUUACAAAAUAUUCACUUACUAUUCAAUAUUGUUUCGUUUUUAUUGCCUUUGUUGGCAGACAAGCACACGGCUUACCCGAUGGUAAAUAGUUACCGUCGCUCAUAGGUAUCAGCAAUGCCAGGGAAGACGCCGAGAUUGAGCAAUAACAGGUCUGUGAUGCCCUUAGAUGUCCUGGGCCGCACGCGCGCUACACUGAAGGAAUCAGCAUGUUCUCCCUGGCCUAGAGGCCCGGGCAACCCGCUGAAACUCCUUCGUGCUGGGGAUUGGGGUUUGCAAUUAUCCCCCAUAAACGAGGAAUUCCUAGUAAGCGCGAGUCAUAAGCUCGCGUUGAUUACGUCCCUGCCCUUUGUACACACCGCCCGUCGCUACUACUUACAACCUAGCCAUAGUCUAGUUCUGAGGACUCUCCGCAAACCUUGUUUGGAGAAGGUUUUCAAGUUGAUGCGACCUAUUUGAUCGGCA
rfam:Bombyx mori DNA, contig: Bm_scaf37_contig21801, strain: p50T/Dazao, build 2, whole genome shotgun sequence.